rnacentral:rRNA from 1 species
CUUAAAUGUAGAGUGCUAUUUUUUAGAGAUAGAAAUUCCCUUCGGGGCUUUCUGCAAGGUGCUGCAUGGUUGUCGUCAGCUCGUGCCGUGAGGUGUCGGGUUAAGUCCCAUAACGAGCGCAACCCUUAUCGUUAGUUGCCAGCUGGUAAAGCAGGGGACUCUAGCGAAACUGCCACCGUAAGGUGAGAGGAAGGUGGGAUGACGUCAAAUCAGCACGGCCCUUAUGUCCAGGGCUACACACGUGUUACAAUGGCCGGCACAGAGGGACGCAAAGCCGCGAGGCGGAGCAAAUCCGAAAAAGCCGGUCUCAGUUCGGAUUGCAGGCUGCAAUUCGCCUGCAUGAAGUCGGAAUCGCUAGUAAUCGCAGGUCAGCAUACUGCGGUGAAUACGUUCCCGGGCCUU